UACGGGGGGAGCAAGCGUUGUUCGGAUUUACUGGGCGUAAAGGGCGCGUAGGCGGUCAGCACAAGUCAGUUGUGAAAUCUCCGGGCUUAACUCGGAAAGGUCAACUGAUACUGUGCGACUAGAGUGCGGAAGGGGCAACUGGAAUUCUUGGUGUAGCGGUGAAAUGCGUAGAUAUCAAGAGGAACACCUGCGGCGAAGGCGGGUCUCUGGGCAGUAACUGACGCUGAGGAGCGACAGCGUGGGGAGCAAACAGG
rnacentral:rRNA from 1 species